GGCGACGUAGCCAAGUGGUAAGGCAGAGCUCUGCAAAAGCUCUAUUCCCCAGUUCGAGUCUGGGCGUCGCCU
rnacentral:tRNA from 1 species